GUGUGACAGGGGCUAUCCCGAGGUGCCGUCCGCUGAGGAUGGCUUUUACCCAKCUCUAGAAAGCUGGGAGAAUAAGGAGAGGGCAAGUCUGGUGUCAGCCGCCGCGGUAAUACCAGCUCUCCGAGUGGUGUGGAUGUUUAUUGGGCCUAAAGCAUCCGUAGCUGGCCAAGCCAGUCCCCUGUUAAACCCAACGAAUUAAUCGUUGGAUUGCGGGGGAUACUGCUCGGCUAGGGGACGAGAGAGGCCGACGGUAUUCUCGGGGUAGGGGUGAAAUCCUAUAAUCCCGGGAAGACCACCAGUGGCGAAGGCUGUCKGCUAGAACGAGCCCGACGGUGAGGGAUGAAAGCUGGGGGAGCGAACCGGAUUAGAUACCCGGGUAGUCCCAGCUGUAAACGAUGCAGGCUAGGUGUUUGGACGGCCACGUGCCGUUCUAGUGCCGCAGGGAAGCUGUUAAGCCUGCCGCCUGGGGAGUACGGUCGCAAGAUUGAAACUUAAAGGAAUUGGCGGGGGAAAGCAC
rnacentral:rRNA from 1 species